GUCCAGACUCCUACGGGAGGCAGCAGUGGGGGAUAUUGCACAAUGGGGGGAACCCUGAUGCAGCGACGCCGCGUGAGCGAUGAAGUAUUUCGGUAUGUAAAGCUCUAUCAGCAGGGAAGAAAAUGACGGUACCUGACUAAGAAGCCCCGGCUAACUACGUGCCAGCAGCCGCGGUAAUACGUAGGGGGCAAGCGUUAUCCGGAUUUACUGGGUGUAAAGGGAGCGUAGACAGCAGUGCAAGUCUGAAGUGAAAGGCAAGGGCUCAACCCUUGGACUGCUUUGGAAACUGUCCGGCUGGAGUGCAGGAGAGGUAAGUGGAAUUCCUAGUGUAGCGGUGAAAUGCGUAGAUAUUAGGAGGAACACCAGUGGCGAAGGCGGCUUACUGGACUGUAACUGACGUUGAGGCUCGAAAGCGUGGGGAGCAAACAGGAUUAGAUACCCCUGUAAU
rnacentral:rRNA from 1 species